rnacentral:rRNA from 1 species
CAGGCUUAACACAUGCAAGUCGAGGGGCAGCAUUUCAGUUUGCUUGCAAACUGGAGAUGGCGACCGGCGCACGGGUGAGUAACACGUAUCCAACCUGCCGAUAACUCGGGGAUAGCCUUUCGAAAGAAAGAUUAAUACCCGAUGGUAUAAUCAGACCGCAUGGUCUUGUUAUUAAAGAAUUUCGGUUAUCGAUGGGGAUGCGUUCCAUUAGGCAGUUGGUGAGGUAACGGCUCACCAAACCUUCGAUGGAUAGGGGUUCUGAGAGGAAGGUCCCCCACAUUGGAACUGAGACACGGUCCAAACUCCUACGGGAGGCAGCAGUGAGGAAUAUUGGUCAAUGGGCGCAGGCCUGAACCAGCCAAGUAGCGUGAAGGAUGACUGCCCUAUGGGUUGUAAACUUCUUUUAUAUGGGAAUAAAGUUUUCCACGUGUGGAAUUUUGUAUGUACCAUAUGAAUAAGGAUCGGCUAACUCCGUGCCAGCAGCCGCGGUAAUACGGAGGAUCCGAGCGUUAUCCGGAUUUAUUGGGUUUAAAGGGAGCGUAGGUGGACAGUUAAGUCAGUUGUGAAAGUUUGCGGCUCAACCGUAAAAUUGCAGUUGAUACUGGCUGUCUUGAGUACAGUAGAGGUGGGCGGAAUUCGUGGUGUAGCGGUGAAAUGCUUAGAUAUCACGAAGAACUCCGAUUGCGAAGGCAGCUCACUGGACUGCAACUGACACUGAUGCUCGAAAGUGUGGGUAUCAAACAGGAUUAGAUACCCUGGUAGUCCACACAGUAAACGAUGAAUACUCGCUGUUUGCGAUAUACAGUAAGCGGCCAAGCGAAAGCAUUAAGUAUUCCACCUGGGGAGUACGCCGGCAACGGUGAAACUCAAAGGAAUUGACGGGGGCCCGCACAAACGGAGGAACAUGUGGUUUAAUUCGAUGAUACGCGAGGAACCUUACCCGGGCUUAAAUUGCAUUUGAAUAUAUUGGAAACAGUAUAGCCGUAAGGCAAAUGUGAAGGUGCUGCAUGGUUGUCGUCAGCUCGUGCCGUGAGGUGUCGGCUUAAGUGCCAUAACGAGCGCAACCCUUAUCUUUAGUUACUAACAGGUCAUGCUGAGGACUCUAGAGAGACUGCCGUCGUAAGAUGUGAGGAAGGUGGGGAUGACGUCAAAUCAGCACGGCCCUUACGUCCGGGGCUACACACGUGUUACAAUGGGGGGUACAGAAGGCAGCUACCUGGUGACAGGAUGCUAAUCCCAAAAGCCUCUCUCAGUUCGGAUCGAAGUCUGCAACCCGACUUCGUGAAGCUGGAUUCGCUAGUAAUCGCGCAUCAGCCAUGGCGCGGUGAAUACGUUCCCGGGCCUUGUACACACCGCCCGUCAAGCCAUGAAAGCCGGGGGUACCUGAAGUACGUAACCGCAAGGAGCGUCCUAGGGUAAAACUGGUAAUUGGGGCUA